rnacentral:rRNA from 1 species
AAAUUGAGAGUUUGAUCAUGGCUCAGAUUGAACGCUGGCGGCAGGCCUAACACAUGCAAGUCGAACGGUAACAGCAGAAGGGCUUGCUGCUUUUGACGCUGGACGGCGAGUGUGUAAUGUCUGGGAAACUGCCUGGGGGGAGAUGAUAACACUUGGAAACGGUAGCUAAUACGUGCAUAAUGUCGCAAGACCGAAAGAGGGGGACCUUCGGGCCUCUUGCCAUCGGAUGCCCAGAUGGGAUUAGGGGUAGCUAGUAACGAGUGGCUCACCUAGGCGACGAUUCCAGCUGGUCUGAGAGGGAUGACCAGCACCACUGGAACUGAGACACGGUCCAGACUCCUACGGGGGCAGCAGUGGGGAAUAUUGCACAAUGGGCGCAAGCCUGAUGCAGCCAUGUGCCGUAUGAAGGAAGCCUUCGGGUUGUGAAGGGAGUAAAGUCUAAUACUUUGCUCAUUGUUACCCGACGCAGCGAAGAAGCCACGUACUUUCAGCGAGAGAAGGGGGGGUGGCUAACUCCGUGCCAGCAGCCGCGGUAAUACGAGGUUAAUCGCAAGCGUGGGCGGAAUUACUGUAAAGCACGAGCGCCUGGUUUGUUAAGUCAGAUGUGAAAUCCCCGGGCCUAACCCUGGGAACUGCAUCUGAUACUGGCAAGCUUGUAGGUCUCGGAGAGGUAGAAUUCCAGUAGAGAUCUGGGGAAUACCGGUGGCGGAAGCCCCCCUGGCGGACUGACGAAAGCUCAGGUGUGCGGGGGCAUACUCCGCCGGUAGUCCACGUAAACGAUGUCGUGGGGUGACUUGCCCCUUGAGGCGUGGCCUUCGAGGCGCUAACGUUAAGUCGCCUGACCCGGGGGGGUACGCCGCAAGGUUAAAACUCAAAUCGAAUUGGGGGCCCGGAGCACAAGACGCAUGAUGUGCGUUUAAUUCGCAACGAAGAACCUUACCUGGUCUUGACCAUCACGGAAGUGUUUUCAGAGAUGAGAAUGUGCUUCCGGGAACCGAGACAGCUGCAUGGCUGUCAGGUCGUGUUGUGUUGCGAAAUGGGUCCCGUUAAGUUGCCUGCAACGAGCAACCCUUAUCCUUUGUUGCCAGCGGGAACUCAAAGAGAGACUGCCAGCCGUCCGUGGAUUAAACGAGGGGGGGAAGUGGGGAUGACGUCAAGUCAUCAUGGCCCCCUUCACGACCAGGGCACACACUGUGCUACAAUGGCGCAUCACAAAGAGAGCGACUCCCGCGAGAGCAAGCGGAUCUCAUAAAGUCGUGCGUAGUCUGAGGUCCGGAUUGCUAACCGACUCCAUGAAGUCGGAAUCGCUAGUGUAAUCGGAUCCAGAAUGCACCGGUGAAUACGUUCCCGGGCCUUGUACACACGCCCCGUCACACCAUGGGGUGGAGGUGACUGUGGGUUGAUAUUCGUCCAAAAGAAGUAGGUAGCUUAACCUUCGGGAGGGCUUACCACUUUGUCGUAACAAGGUAACCGUAGGGGAACCUGCGGUUGGAUCACCUCCUUA